rnacentral:rRNA from 1 species
GACGAACGCUGGCGGCGUGCUUAACACAUGCAAGUCGAACGAAGUGGCGAACGGGUGAGUAACGCAUAAUCAACCUGCCCAUCAGAGGGGGACAGCAGUUGGAAACGACUGCUAAUACCGCAUACUGACGGAGGGGAUUGCGUCUGAUUAGCUAGUUGGAGGGGUUACGGCCCACCAAGACGGCGAUCAGUAGCCGGACAGAGAGGAUAGACGGUCAGAAUGGGACUCGGAACCGGACCAGACUCCAAGCGGAGGCAACAGGGGGGAAAUUUACGGAAGGGACCAAAAGCUUGAGCAGCAACGCCGGGUGAAUGCUGAGGGGCUUCGGGUUCUAAAGAUCUCUUAUUCAGGAAGCGGUACCGAAAUAGAAAGCCACGGCUAACUACGUGCCAGCAGCCUCGGUAAUGC